GAUUUCAACUAGAAAAGUCAUCAACAACAAAGUUGUAUAACACAUCAAGAUCUAUAACUUUUAUUUCGGUCAUUUCUUUAUUCGACAAAGUGAUAGUAACAUUAUUCACAAAAUUCACAUAUCUCUCAUCUAGCUAUUUUAUGAACAAUGUUACUAACACUUUGUCAGAUGAAAAAAUGACAAAAAUAAAAGUUAUAGAUCUUGAUAAGUUAUACAACUUUGUUGUUGAUGACUUUUUUAGUUGAAAUU
rnacentral:pre_miRNA from 1 species